GGACGCGCGUGGAGGACGCGCGCCAUCCCCCCCGACGUGGUAUUCGGCGCGCGUCGUCGCCGGUCCUCUAGCCACGCCGCUCCUCCUCCCACGGCACUGUCAUGUCUCGUUAUUGCACACACCUGGUGUCCAUUCCCUCAUUAGGUUGCCUAUAUUAGUUCCUGUGUUUCUGGGUGUCUUUGUGUGGUAUUGUUCUAUGUCUUUAUAUUGUGGAGAGAGGCACGUUCGUUGAGCGUUUUAUCGCCGUGUAUAGCGUGCCUUUGUUGUAUUAUUAUUAUUUUUGAGAAUACAGUUUUGUUUAUCGCCUCCCUGCGUUUGGCUCCAAGUUCUUCGACACACUCCACUACACCCAGCCGUGACAGAACACCUGGAUUUUGGCUGGAUUGUUCCUUAGAGAUCCUCUCGAGCGUUGUCAAAUAGGAUGGGGAGCGUCGGUGAAACGCAAUCUUAAAGUCUACUCACAUGUUCAAUGGGUUUCAAAUCCAGGAUUUGCCUGGGCCCUCAAAGAUCUUCACAGACAAGCUACACCAUAGGGAUGGUAUUAGCCAGGUGAUGAGCUUUACCUCUUUUUCAACAGCCAAUGCCCUUGGCAUUUAUUAAAAGUCAGAGGUUUGCAGAAAUUACAACUUAUAGCUUUCUACUUGACAAGUAGGAUACAUCACUUCAUUUAGCUAGUUGGCUAGAUAGACAAGGAAAUCUGUGUGUAGGUUACUAGAUAGUAUAAUUGUUUCUCUGUCAUCAUCUAUGUAGAUAAUAAUUCAAUAUUCUUGUUUAUUCUAUUUGUAUGAGCGCAUAUCCAUUUUGGAAGGUUUCUCUAAAGUCUACGACCGAGACAAUAAGCUAAGUUGUGUCCGAGCAGACGAUGAGCCCACGUUAGCUAGCAUUAUGUCUGAGCAGACACGCUUUAUUCCAUUUCCUCCUGGAAAAUAGUGUUACAACCUGGUGUUCUCUGCAAAAUGUUAAGAAAAACAAACAUGUAUUGUGGUUGUUUGACUAAACCUUUUGCAUAUUAAGCGAAUCGAAGAAGCAAUUAUAUUACCUUUUAGUUUGAUUUAGCCGUGUGAAAACUGGUCAAAGUAAGCACAUUAUUUUUCCAGCUAACGGUAGCUAGCACGAUUAUGGUUUCAUAUUUGCUAGAUAGCCAUCAACGAAUCUCUGAAAUAUGACAAUGCAUCUUACGCAAUAGAUAGCCCAGAUGGCGUUUUGAUUGGUUUAGCUGUUCACACUGUGUUCCGUAGUUAUGGAAUGGGCUCAUCAACAUUUAGCCCAUUUAAAACAAAAGUUUGUUUUCAUUGUUCCAGCAUCGACGGUUGGAGGUGACACUGCUUCAUACCGACUAGUUCAGUAUCUUCAACAUCAACAUUUGUGGGUUCAACUGCAGACACAAAAUGAACAGUGCAAAGAGGAGUGGGAGGCCCCGGUGCACAGCUGAGCAAGAGGACAAAUACAUUAGAGUGUUUAGUUUGAGAAACAGACACCAGUCACAGGUCCUCAACUGGCAGCUUCAUGAAAUAGUACAAGCAAAACACCAGUCUCAACAUCAACAGUGAAGAAACGACUCCAGGAUUCUGGCCUUCUACGCAGAGUUUUUCUGUCCAGUGUCUGUUCUUUUGCCUAUCUUAAUCUUUUUUUUUAUUGGCCACUCUGAGAAAUUGCUUUUUCUUUGCAACUCUAAGAUAUACAGCACUCAUGUAAUAGGCUGGGCAAUGCCAG
ensembl:lncRNA